rnacentral:rRNA from 1 species
AGAAUCAACGCUGGCGGCGUGCCUAACACAUGCAAGUCGAACGAGAAAGUGGAGCAAUCCAUGAGUAAAGUGGCGCACGGGUGAGUAACACGUGACUAACCUACCCUUGAGUGGGGGAUAACCUAGAGAAAUCUGGGCUAAUACCGCAUAAUACCUUCGGGUCAAAGGAGCAAUUCGCUUAAGGAGGGGGUCGCGGCAGAUUAGCUAGUUGGCGGGGUAAUGGCCCACCAAGGCAGUGAUCUGUA